rnacentral:rRNA from 1 species
CGGUGAAUACGUUCCCGGGUCUUGUACACACCGCCCGUCACACCAUGGGAGUCGGAAAUGCCCGAAGCCGGUGGCCUAACCGAUAAGGGAGGAGCCGUCGAAGGCAGGUCUGAUGACUGGGGUGAAGUCGUAACAAGGUACC